rnacentral:lncRNA from 1 species
CUAUUGUGACAUCCCUGGAUCUUCCUUCUACUUCAUUAAUGAAAAACCAGAACUGGAACGACCAAGAGCCAUAAAUGAUAACAAAAAUCACCAGAUCCAAGCAAACACAUGAGCCUCAGAUACUUAACAAGUUACCACCACGCUCAACAACGAAGAUGGUUCUUGAAUGGAAGACGUAAAAUCAACUCUAAUGCCGACUAGAAGAAUCAAAGAAGAAAAGAAAGGUGGAGGAAGCUGUCACAGUCAAGUACCAAACUAGAGCCAGGAGAUCUGAGCAUCAAUGGUAGAAGUCAAAAGCAUCGGACGAAGGAUCCUAUUUCCAGUGAUGACUAUGGCAGAACUGUAAGAUGUGACACCAUAUGGACCACGAACCACAAGCAUACUGUACACGGUCCUUCCCAGAAAACAUUUGCUGGCCCUGAACUAGACCAUGAAGAAAUACCAAGAUGCAGUUUUUCUAAACUCAAAGUUGGAGGAAAGUACAUACACUGAGCUGAGGAACACCUGGAAGUAUCAUGUUUAAAGGCACCGGUCAGGGGAAGCUUGGCUGAGGAGAAACAGAGAUGUGUCUGAUACAUUGAGAGCAAGAAUGAGGAAGUUCCUGGAACAGUGAUCACAAAGACAACCAAGGUUUGUGGAGAACACAUGGUGGGCUGCUGUCAUGGAAUAGAAAUAAACAAGGAAGAAGGUUGUCUGGAAUAAUGCUG